UAUUGCAAUCAGUCAAUUAAAGUGAUUUUUUUUUUUCCUGGAUGUCUCAUUUAGAGAUUUUGUAGCAUUUUGCAAAUGGGUAUGCUUCACUACUAUCCAAAGUGUUCUCCCCUUUAGUAAUUCAUAUUGAAUGUAUCCAUAUUCAUAUGCAUUUUAUAAAAUGAUUAACAGAACCUAAGUAACAGCCUGCUAAACCUGGAAUAUGAGUGCUACCGUAGGUUAUGAGUUCAACAAACUGAUUUUGAAAAAGCCACCUAACCUCUCUGGACCUUGUUUGUAAAGUUUCUUCUAGCACUAUUACUCUUAUCUAAGAUCGAAUUUGAUAUAUGGAUGAAAUUCCUAAUGGAAUUUCAAUAACCAUCACAAAGUAAUUUUUUAGAAUAUUCCAUACAGAUUUCCUUCUCAUUUCUCUGGGUAGAUACUUAAAGUAUGAAACUGAUUAUUUAAACUAACAUGUGGAAAGAACCUAAUCCAGAGCUUGGAAUAUAGAAAGUGCUCAAUUAACUGACAUUCCUCCUGUAUUUCCUCCCUCCCUUUAGUUGUCUAUGACUUUUGAACUCACUACUCCCUGACACCUUAACUGCCUGCAGAAAAAUCAAUCAUAUUUGGGGCAUUAUUUUGAAAUAUUUUAGUUUUCUGUACCAUGAAGAUUCUUAUUACAAAAAUCUGAAGAUAUUUAUUGAUGCAAAAAAUUUAGGGAGUCAUUGGAAAUACCUAAGGCAAUCCCAAGCUAACGAUAAAAUAGCAUAAUUUUAAGUAAGCUACACUGAGUUCAUUUAGAACAUUUAGCUAUUUUUUAACUCAUAGUCAACAUAUGUCCAUGCAUUUGAUUUACUUUAAAAAUACUUUUAUUUAAAAAUAACCUCUCUAACACCAGUUGCUUCCUCUCAGUUUUACUCAAAGCACGUUUCCUAGGUCACCUGACCUAGAAUCACCAGAAGUGUUAACAAUACCGAUUUCUGGGCUUUGAGCCAUGAAAUUAGAAUUUCUUCAAAUAAUCCAUGCCCUCCUGCCAUCCAAAAAAA
rnacentral:lncRNA from 1 species